GAUGGACAAUGCAAAUUAAUUGUACCUUCUGUCUUAUAAACCCUCCGUAUUUAUCUCCUCAGUAUUCUGUCAGUGAGAUUUUUGAACAAAAACUGCUGCAAAAAUGGUCCUCAGAAUUACAUGUUUAAUAAGCAUAAUCGUAUUUAUGGACAAGUGCAAAGGUCAAACACUGACUGAGUCUGAGUCAGUCGUCAUCAAACCAGGGAACAAUCAUAAACUGACCUGUACCUUCUCUGGGAUUGAUGUUGGAGCUGCAGAUAUUUCAUGGAUAAAACAGGCUGAAGGGAAAGCGCUCGAGUGGAUCUCAUAUAUUUCUGCUCCAAGUGGCAGCAGCAAAUAUUACUCUAAAACCGUUGAAGGACGAUUCACCAUCUCCAGAGACAACAGUAAAAUGCAGGUGUAUCUGCACAUGACAAAUCUGCAGGCUGAAGACACUGCUGUUUAUUACUGUGCUCGAGAAACACAGUAACACAAGAGGCUUCUGUGCAGUACAUAAACUUAAUGUGCUUUGGAGAAACCAUACACUCUUCAUGCCACACAUUAUCAAAAACAG